rnacentral:sRNA from 1 species
UAUUCUACCCUACGGGGAAGGAUGAGAAGCUUCGACUAAGGUUCGACUCGAGCGCCAGCGAGAGAACGUUGCCAAGGGCAACGG